AAAAACUCCCUUGACGGUACUUAAUGAAUAAGCCCCGGCUAAUUAUGUGCCAGCAGCCGCGGUAAUACAUAAGGGGCGAGCGUUAUCCGGAAUCAUUGGGCGUAAAGGGUGCGUAGGCGGUUUAAUAAGUCUAUAGUUUAAUUUCAGUGCUUAACGCUGUUGUGCUAUAGAAACUGUUUUACUAGAGUGAGUUAGAGGCAAGCGGAAUUCCAUGUGUAGCGGUAAAAUGCGUAAAUAUAUGGAGGAACACCAGAGGCGUAGGCGGCUUGCUGGGACUUUACUGACGCUGAGGCACGAAAGCGUGGGGAGCAAACAGGAUUAGAUACCCUGGUAGUCCACACCGUAAACGAUGAGUACUAAGUGUCGGGUAAAACCGGUACUGAAGUUAACACAUUAAGUACUCCGCCUGAGUAGUGCGUACGCAAGUAUGAAACUUAAAGGAAUUGACGGGACUCCGCACAAGCGGUGGAUCAUGUUGUUUAAUUCGAAGAUACACGAAAAACCUUACCAGGUCUUGACAUUUUCUUGCGAAGUUAUAGAAAUAUAAUGGAGGUUAUCAGGAAAACAGGUGGUGCAUGGUUGUCGUCAGCUCGUGUCGUGAGAUGUUAGGUUAAGUCCUAAAACGAGCGCAACCCUUGUCGUUAAUUGCCAGCAUGUAAUGAUGGGGACUUUAACGAGACUGCCAAUGAAAAAUUGGAGGAAGGUGGGGAUUACGUCAAAUCAUCAUGCCCCUUAUGAUCUGGGCUACAAACGUGAUACAAUGGUUGAUACAAAGAGUAG
rnacentral:rRNA from 1 species